GAUGAACGCUGGCGGCGUGCUUAACACAUGCAAGUCGAACGAUGAAGCCCAGCUUGCUGGGUGGAUUAGUGCCGAACGGGUGAGUAACACGUGAGUAACCUGCCCUUAACUCUGGGAUAAGCCUGGGAAACUGGGUCUAAUACCGGAUAGGAGCGUCCACCGCAUGGUGGGUGUUGGAAAGAUUUAUCGGUUUUGGAUGGACUCGCGGCCUAUCAGCUUGUUGGUGAGGUAAUGGCUCACCAAGGCGACGACGGGUAGCCGGCCUGAGAGGGUGACCGGCCACACUGGGACUGAGACACGGCCCAGACUCCUACGGGAGGCAGCAGUGGGGAAUAUUGCACAAUGGGCGCAAGCCUGAUGCAGCGACGCCGCGUGAGGGAUGACGGCCUUCGGGUUGUAAACCUCUUUCAGUAGGGAAGAAGCGAAAGUGACGGUACCUGCAGAAGAAGCACCGGCUAACUACGUG
rnacentral:rRNA from 1 species